CCUAUGUCCCCCUGCCCCUCCCCUCGGGCGCAAAUCACGCCACAGAUUAGCACGCCCACCCCACGCCUCCCUUUCGAUCGCCACCAGCGCCGCUCCCCUCCCCUUCCGGCCGCCACCACGCGCUCCUCCGCACCGAACCGCCGCCCCACGUUCCUCCGCGCCAGACCGCCGUCGUCUUAGUUCUCCAGGAUCCAACACCAAGCUCGCGACGAAGGGCUUGGAGCUGGCGGCGAGAAGGUGCUCGAGGUCGCCUCCUUCUCCACAGCCGCGCCCCGGGAUGGGAGCCUCCGCAUGCUCCUGCUCUGGCGAUGACGCAUCCAUUCUUCCACUUGACCACUCCAUCCCCUGCUACUUGUGUGCCGCCUCGGAUCUCCAUCUCGAUCUGUGAUGUGCUCGCUGGUGCCGUUGAAGCCGGAUCCCGUGCUUCUCAAAUCGGCGGGUCUUCUCUCCCUCCCUUCUUUCUCCAAUCUCCAUCCCCUACCCGUUGGUAAUUCUAGACGAUGAUGCAUACUUCAUGUAAAUCCAAUGUUGUUUGUUCGGAUAGUAAUGCACAAAGUUCGGCGUAUGCUGUUCUCGGUUCAGUGCUAACAGAUCCUGUAAUGUCUCAAUUUCAUUUAUCCUAUCAUCAUUUGGGUCUAGCAAAUUUAUGUUCAUGCCUACAUCUAUAGUAGCCCCUUCAGAGUUGUAACUUAUAAUGUAAACUGUUAGUGCUUAUAUGCUUAGUACUUAUGGCUGUCAUGCUGAUACUCAUGCAGUAUGUAGGACACGAUUGGAGACUCUAGAAUUUGCAUUCAUUCAACGGUUAUUAUUUUUAGAACAGUGCAUGUUGUGAUUGAUGAUGGUGGAAAUUGGAGGGAUUCUAUUUACUUAUUUUUGUGAGGAGGAAUUAUCUCCAAGGUUGCCAAACCUGCUGAGGUAUUAAAUAUUGUAGAUUAUAAAAAGAACAAUGGAUUUAAAAAAGUGUUCUUGUUUAGGAUGAGCAGGCAACAAGCCCAAGUACUAUAUAUUAUCCUAUACAUUUCCUUUAUUAACACAAAUGGCAAUUCUGUAAUCUGUUAGGCAUUACAUCUCUGUUUUGUGCAGGAAACUUCAGAAAUUAGGCUUUUCUUUAUAAAUGUCUUCACAACACUGGGUUGGCUUCUGUUCCGGUGGUUACAGAAUACUCAUGGGAUUUCAUUUGAAUGUUUAUUCUUGAGAUUAUGCUGAACUAAAUAUGAGCAGUUCAGUGUGGUGUUUGGUUUGAAUGGUGAAUUUUGUGCGGUGUUUCUGCAGGAGUUUUUGAAUCUAAAGCAAGGGUGAGCGCCAAGGAAGGAGGCGCCGCCACGGGCGACGGUGGCGGGGUUGGCCGCUGGCGGCUGUAAUAGUUAAUCAUUGUUGUCAACAUUGGCACACAGGAUUUAGUGGAAGGAAGGUUUUGGGCCAUCAGAUUUCCCUGAGAAUCAAGGGAAAGGAAGAGGAAAGGAAAAUGUUGAUACAUGCUCUGUUGCAAGUGUUCACGUCGCGCAGAAACUACAAUGAAGUUGUCGGGGAGAAGAUCCAGUGAACUCGGCUACAUCGGGUUGGGUCAAAGUGACUGUAAUUCGCAACAGCAGUGCCACGGUUCAGUUCAGCAUGGGGACCAACUACCUCUACAAUGUCCACUCCUACUGGUCUCUGACCUGUCAAACAAGAAGACAUGGUGCAGCUAGCUACUGAAAAGGAGAUGACCGUGGUCCUCUUGACAAGAGGAGAUGACGAAGACGCAGCAGACCAAACCUUUGCGUUCUCCAGUCUCAUGCACAAGGAGUUUCGCAAGAUGGCCAAUGUUGUUAGGAGCCAGGUCACUGGCAACUACUACAUGGCUGACUUGACCAAACCCGCUCUUGCAAGACUUCAAUUUACUGCAACCUGGUUUUUUUUUUGAAAAGGAGGUUACUACAACCUGGUAAAUGAUGAGUAUAAUGAAUGAUGCGCUCAUUACACUGGUUGUGCGAGUAGGUUCAACAUUUGUACCGCAUGACUGUGUUUCCAGAAUUGAUUGGGACAUUCCCCCUUUUCUUUAGAGAUGAAUGGAACAUUUGCACUCCCUCUAUGCCAUGCCUGCAAGCAUGAUUACUCAUUAUACCCAUGUUCAUUUUUGGUUAGGUUUUUGAAACAUGUAUAUCAUUUAUGUGUGUGAACCAGUGAUGUCCUUUUAAAAAUACAUAUUGUUGUGCAUCGAUUUCUUCA